rnacentral:tRNA from 1 species
AGUAUUAUGUCUGAAAAAGAAAUAAAUUGUAAAUUUAUUUACGAAAAUUAGAUUUUUUCUAAUACUA